UACGUAGGGUGCGAGCGUUGUCCGGAAUUAUUGGGCGUAAAGAGCUCGUAGGCGGUGUGUCGCGUCGGCCGUGAAAACCUGCAGCUUAACUGUGGGCUUGCGGUCGAUACGGGCAUCACUGGAGUUCGGCAGGGGAGACUGGAAUUCCUGGUGUAGCGGUGAAAUGCGCAGAUAUCAGGAGGAACACCAGUGGCGAAGGCGGCUCACUGGUCCGGUACUGACGCUGAGGUGCGAAAGCGUGGGGAGCAAACAGG
rnacentral:rRNA from 1 species